GCGGACGGGUGAGUAAUGCCUAGGAAUCUGCCUGGUAGUGGGGGAUAACGUCCGGAAACGGACGCUAAUACCGCAUACGUCCUACGGGAGAAAGCAGGGGACCUUCGGGCCUUGCGCUAUCAGAUGAGCCUAGGUCGGAUUAGCUAGUUGGUGAGGUAAUGGCUCACCAAGGCGACGAUCCGUAACUGGUCUGAGAGGAUGAUCAGUCACACUGGAACUGAGACACGGUCCAGACUCCUACGGGAGGCAGCAGUGGGGAAUAUUGGACAAUGGGCGAAAGCCUGAUCCAGCCAUGCCGCGUGUGUGAAGAAGGUCUUCGGAUUGUAAAGCACUUUAAGUUGGGAGGAAGGGCAGUUGCCUAAUACGUAACUGUUUUGACGUUACCGACAGAAUAAGCACCGGCUAACUCUGUGCCAGCAGCCGCGGUAAUACAGAGGGUGCAAGCGUUAAUCGGAAUUACUGGGCGUAAAGCGCGCGUAGGUGGUUUGUUAAGUUGGAUGUGAAAUCCCCGGGCUCAACCUGGGAACUGCAUUCAAAACUGACUGACUAGAGUAUGGUAGAGGGUGGUGGAAUUUCCUGUGUAGCGGUGAAAUGCGUAGAUAUAGGAAGGAACACCAGUGGCGAAGGCG
rnacentral:rRNA from 1 species